UGAUCUCAUGGCCAAAAUCGUUGAAAUUUUCAAUUUCGAGUUUUUACCGUUUUUGAGCAAUGUAUAUAAAUGUCUACAACUUCAGUAAUUUUCAAAGUCUAAUCUUGCUUAAUUACGUCAUACGUGACGUCACGAAACGUAUCACAAGCGGUACAACUGGCAAACACCGUUUUCACGAAGUGCGCUCUUACGCGCAAAUGUAGUCUGCUAUUGAUAAUCGUACACGAACCGGCUCCGCGAAGCCUUUGUCACAGAUGCCGGUGCUUCUGGCGGAAUUGUUAGAGGAAUCUGACAGCCCUAGUAGAAUAGCCGGCUGAGAGGACCAUCACUAGCACUCCCAGUGGCUGAUGUCUAAGAAGAAGUUUGACGUGGAGAGCUUUUAGCAUGUUGUUGAGUUUACCAGUAGAAUAGACAGCUGAGAUACGCAAGAGAUGAGGGACCACUAGCACCCCCAGUGGUUGAUGUCCAUGUAGGAGUUUGUGCAGCUGAUGUGGAGAGCUUUUAGCAAAUUGACAAGCAUCUGCACCUUUGCCCUUGAACUGAUUACGUUUCCAAUACCACGGUUUGGAGGUCAGACCAAACGACUGACAGACCGACCGACUGAAUAGCUAAGUCCCCUCAGUCUUCAAAGGAUGGACAAAAAUACAGAAGUUAUUGUGAGGUGGGAUCGUGAUGGAGAGAUCAAUUGUGGCAAGAAACGAGAUCUUCGAUAUAACGGAAGGCUUAGGGUGGGUUCAAGAGUUACUAUGAGCUAGAUGGAUGUGUACUGGACGGGGACUGCAACGCUGACAGGAGACUCUGACUCCAAAUGUGCCUCCAUUUAGAGGUUUUGUGUUCUAGUGGAUAAGUAGUUGGACUGUGGAUUACAGGAUCCAUGGUUCAAGUCCCGCCACAGCAGUAAUGUCUUUUGGCAAGAUAUUAACCUACAUUUGCCACUCUGCUGUGAGCACCGAAAGUGGCUGC